AGCGAACGCUGGCGGCAUGCUUAACACUUGCAAGUCGCACGAAGGUUUCGGCCUUAGUGGCGGAUGGGUGAGUAACGCGUAGGAAUCUAUCCAUGGGUGGGGGAUAACACUGGAAAACUGGUGCUAAUACCGCAUGAUACCUGAGGGUCAAAGGCGCAAGUCGCCUGUGGAGGAGCCUGCGUUCGAUUAGCUAGUUGGUGGGGUAAAGGCCUACCAAGGCGAUGAUCGAUAGCUGGUUUGAGAGGAUGAUCAGCCACACUGGGACUGAGACACGGCCCAGACUCCUACGGGAGGCAGCAGUGGGGAAUAUUGGACAAUGGGGGCAACCCUGAUCCAGCAAUGCCGCGUGUGUGAAGAAGGUCUUCGGAUUGUAAAGCACUUUCGACGGGGACGAUGAUGACGGUACCCGUAGAAGAAGCCCCGGCUAACUUCGUGCCAGCCGCCGCCGUAA
rnacentral:rRNA from 1 species